rnacentral:rRNA from 1 species
UACGUAGGUGGCGAGCGUUGUCCGGAUUUACUGGGCGUAAAGGGAGCGUAGGCGGGCUUUUAAGUGAGAUGUGAAAUACUCGGGCUCAACUUGAGUGCUGCAUUUCAAACUGGAAGUCUAGAGUGCAGGAGAGGAGAAUGGAAUUCCUAGUGUAGCGGUGAAAUGCGCAGAGAUUAGGAAGAACACCAGUGGCGAAGGCGAUUCUCUGGACUGUAACUGACGCUGAGGCUCGAAAGCGUGGGGAGCAAACAGG